AUGAGAAAGGAGUAUUUUACAGAAUCAACACUUCCAGAAAGCUUUAGACAUUAACAACAUAUUCUGGUUUCUUCAUGUAUACAAAAAUCAUUCCAGUUAACCGAGACAACAUUCAAGACUUUGGAUUGGAUGGCACGAACACUAUGCUUCACCCUCCCUUUUUCAAUGCUUGCUUAUCCUUUUUACAUGUUGGCAGCAUCUGUUGAAGUUUUAAGGAAGGCGCAGUUGUGAUUGAAAAAUAGAGAAGCUUUGUGAAAUGUGAACGAGCCAUAUUGCAAUUUUAUGGGAAGAGGCGACCAUGGUGGUGGAGGUUUCUUCGUCGAUUAACUUCGUCUUUGUACCUGCUCUAGAUUCCAUUCGAUUUAGCGUUUUUUGUAGCUGGCGUUGGG